GAUGAACGCUAGCGGCAGGCCUAAUACAUGCAAGUCGAACGCUCAGUAGCAAUACUGGGAGUGGCGCACGGGUGCGUAACGCGUACACAAUCUACCCUCUAAGCGGGGGACACCUCCUGGAAACGGGGAUUAAUACCGCAUAAUAUGCCGAAGUCGCAUGACUUUGGUAUUAAAGCAGCAAUGCACUUAGAGAUGAGUGUGCGUCCCAUUAGGUAGUUGGUGAGGUAACGGCUCACCAAGCCUAUGAUGGGUAGCCGGUCUGAGAGGAUGGUCGGCCACACGGGCACUGAGACUACGGGCCCGACUCCUACGGGAGGCAGCAGUAAGGAAUAUUGGUCAAUGGUGGAAACACU
rnacentral:rRNA from 1 species